AUGCUCCCCAACAAAGGUCAGGUCAAACCUACCCUAGACCCCGGCGAGAGAGUAGUAUUCAUACCCCACUUACUCUGCGGGCUAGGGUUUCCUCCUCACCCCAUCGUCCGUGGCCUCAUGUUUUAUUACGGGCUGGAUUUCCAUGAUCUAGCCCUGAACUCUUUCCUCCACAUCUCGGCGUUCAUCAUCGUGUGCGAGGCUCUACUCCGCCUCCCCCCACACUUCGGCCUAUGGCUCAAAGUUUUCAACAUGAAGCCGAAGGUGGUCGACGGGCAGCACGCGGACUGCGGCGGGGCCAUGGUGAGCAAACUCCCCAACACCGUCUGGCCCAAAGGGGCAAUCGUGGAGACGGUCAAGGUGUGGCAGCAGGAGUGGUUCUACAUCACCGAAUCCCGCAAUGCCAACUGGGCAGCUGCACCCGAUUUCAGAUCCGGACCCCCCACCAGGCUCACCUCCUGGACUGCUAUUGCCGAUUAA
rnacentral:rRNA from 1 species